UUAAUUGAUUUCUGUCUAAUUCCAUUCGAAAAUAUAUCUAGUUAAAUUUCAAUCUUUUCCACUCGUUACAAUUCGAAAUUAUCUUUUUCUUCUUACAUCGGUAUUUAUCGUAUAAACCAUCGUAAGAAAGAACAUCAACCAUUUUGCGAGUCUUCUUUAUUCUAUGUAAUUAAAUCGACAUUAACGUCAUUAAACUAGCGCUGGAGGCGUAGUAUGCAGUGCGUAUAAGAGUACCAAUUAAGCAUGUACGUUUUGAUACUUGUUAUGAAAUGUACGAGGAAGAAACAAGAUAUUAGUACUAAAAUUAAAUACAAGUCGCUACAGUCGGUUUUUAUAAUUCGCUCGUAGUUCCAUGUAUCAAGUUAAACUAUCAGAUUCAUUCAUAAUUUAUUUUAGAAAAAUCCUCUUUCAGAACAUAGAACAAGUUGGUAAAGUUUAGCGGAACCUGUAGAACACUUUGUAUAGAGGUAUUGGUUAAACAGUUUGAUAUAAUAUGAUAAUGGAGAGAAAAUAGGAAAAGUACUCUAAAGAUUAACGUGGACAGCAUCGAAUGUAUACAAUAGAUACUCUGUAAUUCUAGCACACUUACUAGAUCAUGUGACACAACGAAAUGUUAAAUAUUUUUCUAUGUUUUGAAUUAUUUAUUUUGAAUUACAUCGAGGAUGCUAAUAAAUGUAUCCACUUUUGAUGCGUAAAAAUUUUUAUUACACAAUACAGUACACAAUAUAACAACAAGAUAACUAAAGAUCACUUCGAUAAAAUGAUAAGUAAUGAAAUCUCUCUGUUGUAACUGUGAAAAUUCUAAGAUUUGGUCGAAACAUAAGUAAAUGCAUAGUUUAAUCUCGAUUUUCAAAUAUUUUCAGACAAGAAAUAAACAAAAUAUUAUAUUUACAGGGUACUUUUAUAAGGAACAUGCUAUCGUAAUAUUAGAAAACGUUUCAACAUUGGCUGUUCCCGAUAAACGAGGUUCUACUUGGAAAAGAAAAUACUUGGAGAUUGUGUGACGCUUUAUUUAAUUUUUUUUAAUCGAUGAAGCAAAAGAUUAAUCUUUUCCUAAUCCACUCGUAUUAUCGUAUAGGUAAUACAUUGAAUUUUAUUCAUUUGUUUACGAACUUUUUAAAUAACCCAUGAUUAAUACAUGCUGGUGCCUCGUUCAAUGUCUAAACAAAAAUUAAAUAAAAAUAUUCGAUAAAGCUAUUUCAAUUCGAGGAACACGAUUAAUCCUUUAAUCUUGAUUGGAAAUUUUUAAAUUUGAAUCACAGUUAUGAUUAAUAAAUUUUUUCUCGAAGAAUUUUACAAUGUUUGAAAGAAGCUUCACCGAAAAAGCAUUCGAUAAGAAUUAUAAUGAGAAAUAUUCGAAGUAAAUUAAUUACUGUAGAAAGCAAUGAUUAGCAAUUCGAAUGUAAAAUUAUUACAUAAAGUAACAAUUAAAUAGAUUUCAAUUAUCAAAGUUUUACGAUAUUUUAGCUGAGAUAAUAACGUUCUUCAUUACGAAUUAUUACUUUUAGUUUUAUGUUCAUUUGUUCUCAAUCUUAUCAUCAAUCUUCUCCAGUAAAAAAGAGAAUUAUAUAUAUGGAAAGAUCUGCUUUUAUAGUGAAUUUUAUGUAAUCUAUAUAUUUUAUAUA